UUAAAAGAGAAAGACUUGAACUUUCACUAGGGAAAUCAAAAUUCCCAAUGCAACCCUUACACUAUCUUUUA
rnacentral:tRNA from 1 species